rnacentral:lncRNA from 1 species
AGAAGUAACUGCAGAUGUGGCGGAAAUUGUGAGAGAACUGGAAUUAGUAGUGGAGCCUGAAGAUGUGUCUGAAUUGCUGCAAUCUCACGAUAAAACUUUAACAGAUGAGCAGUUGCUUCUUAACAGAUUAGCAAAGAACAUGUUUUCUUGAGAUCAAAUUUACCCCUGGUGAAGAUAGCUGACAUGCCAACAAAGGAUUUAGAAUAUGACAUAAACUUAGUUGAUAAAGCAGCCAGCGGGGUUUGAGAAGAUUGACUCCAAUUUAGAAAGAAGUUCUACUGGGGGUAAAAUUCUGUCAAACAGCAUCGCAUGCUACAGAGAAAACAUUCAUGAAAAGAAGAGGCAAUCGAUGUGGUAAACUUCACGGUUAUCUUCUUUUAAGAAAUUGCCACAGCCACGCCAGCUUUCAGUAACCACUACCCUGAUCAGUCAGCAGCCAUCAACAUUAAGCAAUGCACAGACACAGGGAGCGUGAACAGUGAUCUCACCUACUUCUGUCAUACCUAUUCAUCCCAAGAACACUGGUAUGAAAACCCCAGUUCUCAAGCAAAGCCUACGCUACUCUGAUGGAAGUAGUCUUCACUCAUGUUUCUUCAUCUGAAAAAUGGAGAUGCUUAACACAUAUCUCAUACGGUGAUUUUUGAGGAUUAAACGAGAACAUUUACAUAAAGAAGUGAGAUGAAUGCCUUGUACAUAUUAGAUGCUCAUUAAAUAUCAGUCUUUUUGUCUGUCAUUCAUUGGAUACUCUUCUUCAUCAAUGAAUAAAGAGCUACAGAGAAGCCUAAUACGAAUGCAUCUCUUCCACCCUUCAAUAAAAUCUAUGAAAGGUCAUACUGGUUACCAUAUGCCAAUUAGGAUUCCUAUGGCACUAGAAAGGAGC